UACGUAGGGUGCAAGCGUUGCCCGGAUUUAUUGGGCGUAAAGGGCGCGUAGGCGGCUCUGCACGUUCGUUGUGAAAUCGCCCGGCUCAACUGGGCGGGGUCAGCGGAUACGGCCGCACUCGAGCAAGCUAGGGGGCAAUGGAAUUCCCGGUGUAGUGGUGGAAUGCGUAGAUAUCGGGAGGAACACCAGUGGCGAAGGCGGUUGCCUGGAGCUUUGCUGACGCUGAGGUGCGAAAGCGUGGGGAGCAAACAGG
rnacentral:rRNA from 1 species